UGGUUGUGUAAUUGACAACAUUGAAAUUGAUCUUUGAAUUUAUCUUUUGUUAUCGGUGUGUAUAUCAAUUCAGUUUUGUUUCUUUACUGUUGAAUGUCUUUAUUUUUCACUCAAGUUCAACAUUUCAAUUCUAGUUUUUAGUUUUACAUUAUUUUGAUUUCUUAUUUUAGCAUGGAGACUUCAAAAGGAAGAGGUCCAGGACAAAAUAAAAGAUUCUGGAGUGAAGAUGAAGACAAACACUUGAAUGAAUCACUUAUGGAGCUAAAUAAUGAAGGGAAGUUUAAAGCUGAAGGAAACUUCAAGCCAGGUCAUCUUAGAGCUAUUGAGGUGAAAUUAAAAGAGCGAAUGCCUGGAUGUGACAUACAAGCUAAGCCACACAUUGAGUCUAGAAUGAAAACUUUGAAUACUCAUUUUCAAAUAGUACAUGAAAUGUUGACUGGACCUUUUUGUAGCGUGUUUGGAUGGGACAGUAAUAGAAAAACUGUAACUGCGGAAAAACCAGUGUGGGACGCAUAUUUGCAGGUAUUUAUGUUUAUAUAUGCUAUAUUAUAAUAUAACUAGUGCUUUAAAAAUGUUAAACUUUUUGACUUGGCAUAAUGUUUUGAACUUCUUAUAGAAUACUUUGGUAUAUAUACUUUAAAGAUAUGUGAAGUAAAAGAUAGGUUAUGCAGUGUGAUUUAUUAGUUUUUAUUUUGUAUACAUGCAGAGUCAUAAGGAAGCAUCCCCAUUCAAGAUCAAGUCAUCCCUUGGUAUGCCGACUUAUGUGCAAUUUUUGGCAAAGAUCGUGCAACUGGAAAACAUGCAGAGACUGUAACAGAUGUUGUUGAAGAACUUGAAGCUGAAAAGGAAAACACUACACUUGGAGAAGAUGAUUUUAGCAAUGCUAACAAUGUGGAUGAAGUGGAAUCCAUAUCUGUUUUAGAUGCAACAAGAGGUGCUCAAUCUCACACUCAAUCAGAUGGGUCUUCAACGAAGAAAAGGAAAGCUGCAAAUCAUGAAGAACUUUCAAAUGCACUUACACAAUCAGCUUGUAUUCUCGCAGAGUGUCCCAGAUGAUGAGAAGAAUGAAUGGGCGAGACUUCUGAUUAAUGGCUCUCUUUAGUACACAGCUCGGGAAAGAGUUAGAAAGAUCAUGUUUAUUCACUUUAAAAUAAUUUGUAGGACAAUAUAUAUUGCCUUUGACAUUCAGUAGUAUACAAAUUAUCAUCUUUUGGAUCUGGUGCUCAUAAUUUUGCAAAUAAUUGUUUUGAGCAUAAAUAUGGGUAUUGGACAUGAAUACUUAUACUUUUUGUAGUGAUAUUUUAUGUA